UACGUAGGGGGCAAGCGUUGUUCGGAAUCACUGGGCGUAAAGCGCACGUAGGCGGCUUCUUAAGUCAGGGGUGAAAUCCUGGAGCUCAACUCCAGAACUGCCUUUGAUACUGAGAAGCUUGAGUCCGGGAGAGGUGAGUGGAACUGCGAGUGUAGAGGUGAAAUUCGUAGAUAUUCGCAAGAACACCAGUGGCGAAGGCGGCUCACUGGCCCGGUACUGACGCUGAGGUGCGAAAGCGUGGGGAGCAAACAGG
rnacentral:rRNA from 1 species